GGCCUGGUGGUGUAAUGGUAUCACGUCUUUGUCUCUUGACCCAGGAGUGUUAGAAUUUAAGAAGAUGAACCCCGUUCGAUUCGGGGCUGGGCCU